rnacentral:rRNA from 1 species
AUGCUCCCCAAUGGUCUCACGGUCGCCGUGAAGCGCCUCCACGCCGGAGGCCACGACGACAGGACCUCUCAGGAGCAGUUCAUGGCCGAGGUGGGCACCAUCGGGAGGACGCACCACAUCAACCUCGUCAGGCUCUUCGGCUUCUGCUACGAUGCCGCUGACGUGCGCGCGCUGGUGUAUGAGUACAUGGAGCACGGCGCGCUCGAUUCCUACCUCUUCGACCGGAGCCGCCAAGUCUCUUUCCAGACGCUGCGAGACAUCGCCGUCGGCAUUGCGAGGGGGCUCCGGUACCUCCACGAGGAGUGCCAGCAGAAGAUCGUGCACUACGACAUCAAGCCCGGCAACGUGCUCCUCGACGGCAGCCUUACCCCAAAGGUGGCCGACUUCGGCCUUGCGCAGCUGCUGAACCGGGCGGACACCCACAAGAGCGUCUCCGGGAUGCGCGGCACACCAGGUUAUGCCGCGCCAGAGAUGUGGAUGCAGGCCGGCGCCACCGUGAAGUGCGACGUGUACAGCUUCGGCAUCCUCCUGUUCGAGAUCCUCGGCCGGAGGAGGAACCUCGACGAGACCGCGCCAGAGAGCCAGCAGUGGUUCCCCAAGCUGGUGUGGGUAAAGUAUGAGAGCGGCCGGCUUCUGGAGGUCGUAGAGACUUGUGACGGCGCGGACGAGCAGGACAAGAAGACGGCGGACAGGAUGUCUGAGGUGGCGUUCUGGUGCGUGCAGCAGCAGCCGGAGGCGAGGCCUCCGAUGGGCGUGGUGGUGAAGAUGCUCGAGGGCGAGAUGGACAUUGCUCCCCCGGCGAACCCGUUCCAGCAUCUCAUGGCAACGCCGAAGGUGGCAAACAUGUGGACCACCGUGACAAGCAGCGUGAACACGGUCUCGACUGGGGUAGAUAUCGAUGGUGUUUCUCGUGAAAUUUGUUCGACAUAA